rnacentral:rRNA from 1 species
UACGGAGGGGGCUAGCGUUGUUCGGAAUUACUGGGCGUAAAGCGCGCGUAGGCGGACCUGCAAGUCGGGGGUGAAAGCCCGAGGCUCAACCUCGGAACUGCCUUCGAUACUGCGGGUCUCGAGUCCGGGAGAGGUGAGUGGAAUUCCUAGUGUAGAGGUGAAAUUCGUAGAUAUUAGGAAGAACACCGGUGGCGAAGGCGGUUCUCUGGGCCUGUACUGACGCUGAGGAGCGAAAGCGUGGGGAGCGAACAGG